GUUCUCUUUUUCUUGUUAGUAGUGAAAUUGUGUUCUCUCUGUUUUUAUGCUACUCUAUCCUUCUAUUAGCCAAUAUGUGGGUGAUGUGCAUAUCAACGGUGAUCUUUUUCAAUUGAUUAUUCAUCUUGUAUCCACUUGUGUGAGCCAUGAUUAACCAUGCUGAGUUGAAGGCUGUUAACAAGUUGAAAUAUUGGAUCCUCGAGUCAGAUCCUGGAAUUAUGCAACUUGCGCCAUAUCUUGGUGCUCCGUCUUCUGCAAACUAGUAUUCUGCUUUACUAUGUUCCGGAUUUCAGAUUUUGAUUUUGUUGUAUGAUUUUCAUGAGAAAAGAUGUGUCACAGAUAUAAGGAUUUCACUGAGUUAUCAUCAGUGAAUGAAUAUCCCUUGAAGCUCUCGUCAUAGAAAAGGCAAAAGGGUUGUUAUUUCCUGAAGGAAGGUCGGGGAAAAGAUGAAACAAUUGAAGAUGCAGUGCAGUGUGAGACAGUGGAGGAAGCUGAAGUACGAGGUCGGUGAAGUUGAGUGCAAACUGAGAAGAGGAAGAUGGUAGUUUGAGAGCAGAACCGGUGACACUGCCUAUGAAGCACAUAUGUUUCCUCUGUCUGAGAAAGAGAUUCGCGAAAGAACUUGAGUGUGCAAUAAUUCGUUCUUUUUAAAUCUCAUUUCGAAAUAUAAUCACAUUUAACAUUUACUGACAAGUAGCUGGCCCUAAAAACAAUUUGCAGAUGAAUGGCAAGAUAACUUUGCCAAAAUGGGUGGGUGCAAGAAGCCUCAGAACAAUUAGUAAGUCGCCUCACAUCACAGAGAAAAUGGAUCAAAGGUGGAGUAUUUCCAGGACUCCGAUGUAGCUUCAACGCUCGAGCUCAAAUAACCCCACCAAGUUCUACUGAAGCAUUAGAGAUAGUCGUAGGAGUUAAUUUUUUGUUUGUUUGUAGAAUUGGAGUUUAGGCAACCUAUCCUGUAAGCAAUGCGAGCGUAAAGAGGGUUUAGCAGGUUCAGUUGAACACAUUGUUUCAGCUCAAAUCAUGUAAUGUACAUGCAGGGAAAAUUAACGUUGUUAAUACAAUCAAUCACUAAAUUUGAA